GACGGAGGAUGCAAGUGUUAUCCGGAAUCACUGGGCGUAAAGCGUCUGUAGGUGGUCAAAUAAGUCAACUGUUAAAUCUUGAGGCUCAACCUCAAAAUCGCAGUCGAAACUAUUCGACUAGAGUAUAGUAGGGGUAAAGGGAAUUCCAGUGGAGCGGUGAAACGCGUAGAGAUUGGAAAGAACACCGAUGGCGAAGGCACUUUACUGGGCUAUUACUAACACUGAGAGACGAAAGCUAGGGUAGCAAAUGGG
rnacentral:rRNA from 1 species